rnacentral:lncRNA from 1 species
AGUUCAUCGCAACACUCAGCCUGUCAGUCAGGUUGUGGGAUCCCUCCUAUCCAGGAACUGUAUGCUGUUGUCCCGGUUCUGACACUUUCCCUCUGAGUCCUUGGACACCUUACCUAACCUCUUGGAAGCUCCUGUCUGUGAAGGGUGUGCACAGAGAGCUUCGGUAGCCUGCGAAGCAGCCAUUUUCACUUCCACGGAGCAGAUGCUGGCCUGGGUGCUGGAAUAUGGAAAUGAGGAAGAUCCUGCCUGAGGAUUUCAUGACAGGACAUGGUCCAAGCAGACCCUUUCCUGAGACUUUCUAAAUGGAGCUGUGUGAGAAGAGUUCCUUUCUGUUUUGCCUCUGGAGCUGAAGGUUGAGAACUCAGAGCUGCCCGUGUUCUACCCUGUGAAAAUAAAGGCAAUCAAUUCACAGAGACAAGCAGAAACAAGGCGUCCAGAGCAAGUCCUUCACAUCACCCUGGACACCCUGGCCCUGAUUUCCACUCCCUGCCAGGCUUGUUUGUCCAAUUCUUCUUUUUGUUCCAAGCACCAUCCCAGCAGGCUUAGUUACCUGUAAGCAUUUGGUUAAUCUCUCUUCUCAGCUAGACCGUAGGCUCCCCGAGUGCAGAAACUAUGUUUAUUUUGGUCUCUGCUGGAUCUCCAGCACCUAAAUAAAUGUUUAUGGUUGACUGCAAGGCAGAUCUGUGUGGGGAAUGAAGAAGAGUAUUAAGACCUCCCAGAUGGGCUGCUGGAGGCCUGUCCAAGGUGGAACUUUGCAUGGUGAGAAAUGCAAUUCAGUAGGAAAACAAAGAACUCCUUCAUCCUCCUCUAGAUUCUGCAGGCAAGUGAUCAGCUCAAGGUGAAGGAUCUAAAACCUGAAAAGAGGCCAAAUGAUUCCUCAAAACCACGCAAGUACGAAGUAGCAGAGCGGAUCUCAAAUCCAGGUGUGUCUGACUUCCAGCCUAAUGGCUUUUCUUAAAAACACCCCCAAACUCU